rnacentral:rRNA from 1 species
AUUGAACGCUGGCGGCAGGCCUAACACAUGCAAGUCGAGCGGAUGAAGGGAGCUUGCUCCUGGAUUCAGCGGCGGACGGGUGAGUAAUGCCUAGGAAUCUGCCUGGUAGUGGGGGAUAACGUCCGGAAACGGGCGCUAAUACCGCAUACGUCCUGAGGGAGAAAGUGGGGGAUCUUCGGACCUCACGCUAUCAGAUGAGCCUAGGUCGGAUUAGCUAGUUGGUGGGGUAAAGGCCUACCAAGGCACGAUCCGUAACUGGUCUGAGAGGAUGAUCAGUCACACUGGAACUGAGACACGGUCCAGACUCCUACGGGAGGCAGCAGUGGGGAAUAUUGGACAAUGGGCGAAAGCCUGAUCCAGCCAUGCCGCGUGUGUGAAGAAGGUCUUCGGAUUGUAAAGCACUUUAAGUUGGGAGGAAGGGCAGUAAGUUAAUACCUUGCUGUUUUGACGUUACCAACAGAAUAAGCACCGGCUAACUUCGUG